rnacentral:rRNA from 1 species
AUGGUCAAUAAAACCACUAGUUUCAAGAAAGGCAAGGGUAAAAAGAACUUUAAGAAGGACAGCAAGGGAGUUGUCGCGCCCGGUAAGCCAGUUGUUGGGAAGAAGCCAAAGCAUGGACCCAAACCUGAGACUGAGUGCUUUUAUUGCAAGGGAAGCGGACACUGGAAGCGGAACUGCCCCAAGUACUUAGCAGACAAGAAGGCUGGCAACACUAAAGGUAUAUGUGAUAUACAUGUAAUUGAUGUGUACCUUACCAGUACUCGUAGUAGCUCCUGGGUAUUUGAUACCGGUGCGGUUGCUCAUAUUUGUAACUCAAAAUAG